rnacentral:rRNA from 1 species
GUGACAAAAUAGCAAUAUUUUCAAGAAACAACUUUUUAAAUUCUAAUUUAAUAGAAGUCAAGUUAUGGUCUGAGAGAUAACUUAAAAAUGGUAAGUUAUUUAGGAACAAGAUAAAAGGCAAAACACCAAACUUCAUACAAACUUAAAUGUUUGACAUUUAAAAAUUAAAGAGAUUUUUUUUUAACGUGUAUUUGAGACAAAUAAGCCAACCUUGGUACAUAACCGCUGAAAACUAAAAAACCGUACCCUAAACCAACACAGGUGGAUAGGUCGAGUAGACUAAGGUGUAUGAGAUAAUUAUGUUGAAGGAACUCGGCAAAAUGACUCUGUAACUUCGGGAGAAAGAGUACCUUUUUAUUUA